rnacentral:rRNA from 1 species
AUACUUAGUACGGCGAGUGAGCGGUAAAAGCUCAAAUUUGAAAUCUGGUACUUUCAGUGCCCGAGUUGUAAUUUGUAGAAUUUGUCUUUGAUUAGGUCCUUGUCUAUGUUCCUUGGAACAGGACGUCAUAGAGGGUGAGAAUCCCGUUUGGCGAGGAUACCUUUUCUCUGUAAGACUUUUUCGAAGAGUCGAGUUGUUUGGGAAUGCAGCUCAAAGUGGGUGGUAAAUUCCAUCUAAAGCUAAAUAUUGGCGAGAGACCGAUAGCGAACAAGUACAGUGAUGGAAAGAUGAAAAGAACUUUGAAAAGAGAGUGAAAAAGUACGUGAAAUUGUUGAAAGGGAAGGGCAUUUGAUCAGACAUGGUGUUUUUUGCAUGCACUCGCCUCUCGUGGGCUUGGGCCUCUCAAAAAUUUCACUGGGCCAACAUCAAUUCUGGCAGUAGGAUAAAUCAUUAAGAAUGUAGCUACCUCGGUAGUGUUAUAGCUUAUUGGAAUACUGCUAGCUGGGAUUGAGGACUGCGCUUCGGCAAGGAUGUUGGCAUAAUGGUUAAAUGCCGCCCGCGA